GCUGCCUGUUCUCAUGAUUAGAUUUCGAGACUGUCACGUAUAUUUGUACAUUAUUUUAUGACGGGUACAAAUGUGAGACAAGGUGAUUAAAGUUCAAACGAGCUUAAGCAGAAAAUCACCGGUCAAACACACACCACAGCGUUGAAUUACACUGUUGUGAAUUUGUAUGUUUUUGAACGUAGGCGUCCCCCUUGUGAGUUUCCGUUUGUGUUAUUAUCGAGUUAACUAAAUAAAAACAAUCAUAAGAGGCGCUUAUCCCGUUUCUACGACGAACCGGUUCGCCGAGCCCUCUCGCGGCCAAUUACGUCACUGCACGCGCUUUCAUCCCUGCCUCGACCAAUCAGCGCGGCGCCUCGGAAGCCCUUCUCUUCCUGAUGGCAUGGAAACAGGGGAAGAAAAAUCGAGGUCAAAAUAUUUUGACACGUGACUCGGUAGCGAUUGGUUAUCGAUGCGUCAAGACCCCGACACAUGGCACGGACAUAUGCGACCGAAAGUGGCGCGAUGAAGGAUCGUCUUUAUGGCAGAAAACCCGACGUGUUUUUUUGGUCGCCCGCGUCUGUGACACAUGAGUUGGAUGCAAACGAAAAUCACUCGGUUACUGUAGCUCGGUGAAUAGGUGAAUUAGGCGUUUAUGGGGGUAGAUGAUGGGUAACGCCAGUAUUGACGUAAUCUGUAGAGAAACGCUGAUCUAGGAGAGAGCGAGCGCUCCCCCGCAACAACCCCGUCCAAGAAGGAAGGGAUCCUCUGCAUUUCUUUCUCACCGACAAAAACGUGCAUCCAAGCGCUCGAGUCUGCAAAUACACUUCGCUACGCGGAUAUUACGCCGCACGCGCCAUUGAAACGUUUGCCUUUAGAUGAAGCAUUCAUUAGCCGUCUGUUCGCCUUCUUUUUAGUCGCCUGGCCGUACUGACUUGACCUGAACUAGUUAAAAUUUCCCAAUUGGAAAGGGCGAAGUCUGCACAGCAACAAGAGCCGCGAUUGCGUUGCACACCGCCUAAGCAUCCAGCGCGCUUCUGGUCCAAUUGCUGAUGUUUUCCGCCUGCAAAAUCUGCCACAACCGUAGUAAUACCUUGACAACCGGACCCGGGCGAACCGAGAAACACUUUUGACAACUCGACAGCGGGGAAUCUUUUUUUCUAAAUCAAUGCCUUGAAGUUUGUCGGACGGGUCCUCGGAUAUUCCCGCACGAAAGUUCUCACGCUGCAAUUAAAAAUGAAGCACUGGUGCACUCAGGAGUCUCCAUCAUCAGGCAAUCUGACCUACUAUGUUUAGUUAACCUGUCGUGCUUCUUCCACAGAGUCGCUUGCCGUGCGUUGAAAAAUAUCGUCUGAUCGAUGCAGAUGAUGUUGAUUUUUAAAACAAAACAAAAUUUUAUCACUCUCAGCCCUUUUGGUUCUAUUAGCCCAUGAAUUCACUGUAGACUUGUGGCGCAGUCUUGCAAAUGCAAACCGAUAUUUGGUUUAUUGCGCGUAAUGUCGAUGGUUUCCAAAACGACACCGGACAGCACUGAGUGCUCUAGAGAUUCACGAGAAAGAGGCUUGCCAAGAUGAUGAAAAUUGCAUUCAUGUGUCAUGCCCCCGACAAGCUUUCAUAUUGAUGUCUUUUCCCACUUUAGGAUACGAUGGAGCUCUUGGAGGAGGACCUCACAUGCCCAAUAUGCUGCUGUCUUUUCGAGGACCCGCGCGUUCUGCCGUGCUCUCACAGCUUCUGCAAGAAGUGUCUGGAGGGCAUCCUGGACGGUAACCGGAGCCCUGCUUGGAGACCGCCGUUCAAAUGCCCGACCUGUCGAAAGGAGACCGUGCACAACGGCAUCGCGAGCUUGCAAGUCAAUUACUCCCUGCGUGGCAUCGUGGAGAAGUACAACAGGAUCCGAGUGAUGCCGAGGAUGUCUCUCUGCCGAGUUCACAGCGGGCAGCCUCUCAACAUCUUCUGCGCCACCGACCUGAAGCUCAUCUGCGGCUUUUGCGCCACGACGGGCGACCAUAAAGGACACAAGUUCUGCGCGCUGGAGGAGGCGUACGAACGCGAGAAGCUCGCGUUUGAGGAGUUGUUCCGCGUCGUGGAGAGCUGGAAGGGCGCGGAGGUGCAUUCGUGCCUGGAAUCGUUAGAGGGAGCGAAGAGGAAAGCGCUGGAGAGGGUCUCGCGGGACGCGGAUCGGGUCUCAGAGUACUUCGACAAACUUUUGCGCACGCUGGGGCACAAACGCAGCGAGAUCCUCUCGGACUUGGAGACCCUGAAGCUCGCGGUCAUGCAGACCUUCGACCCCGAGAUCAACCAGCUCCGCUCGGCGCUCGAGGAGCAGCAGCGCGCGCUCAGCAUCGCCGAAUCCUUCCGCUCGCUUUCGGACCCGCUCGCUUUCCUCCAGCAGAUGCAGGACUUCAGGGAAAAGCUGCGCGUCAUUCGGGGAACGCCGCUGCCGACGCGGACGGACGUGGACGUGGGGCUGCUCGGCCUCCGGAGCUUCGACGUGAAGGAAUGGGACCGGGCGCGCCUGGGAGAGGUGGACAAGCUGUGCGCCCCCUACGAGAGCAGCACCUACCUGGCCUCGCUGCCCCCCGCUGCCGCUCCGCGCUACUCCCGCGUGCUCUGGAGAGUCGUUCUGGUCGUAUGCGCGUGUCUCCCGGCGCUGAACUUUCUCCCGUCGGACUGCCUCGCUCUGAGCUUCCAGGAUAAGGUGGUCGCACUCGGUGGCUUUUCUCUGCCCGGUCCUAGGGAGAUCGCGCGCUGGCUCGGGUUCUGCUGGAAAGAAGCGGAGGCGAUCUGCGCGCUACUGACCGAGCUGUGUCGGAACUGUAUCUUGGACCUGAUAAACACAACAUCAGAUUUCCUCAGCUGAUUUUGUAACUCCAUUCAUUAGUUUUGGAAACACCAGUGUUGGGAGUCAGCUGGGAAAAAAAAACAAAAAACUAAAGAAGAGGAACACGUUCCGAUUGUGCAUUGAUAUCGUUUAUCUGCUCCGUGCAAGUUAUCAGGAGACUCAAGGUUAAACGUUGCGUAACUGAAUGUCAGGCUCGCACCCGGCCACAGGGCUCGAGGCAUUCCAGGACUCCAUCUGAAACACAGAAGAGAGGACGCCAGAGCAGGAUUUUCUGAAGACACCUCAGCAACUUUCAAGCGCUACACCGAAAACUGUCCUCUGGCAACUCCAUCAGAAAUAAUAUUAAAAGAAAACUACCAUUUUCUAGACCAGACUGGAUUUAACCUCCAAGAUGGUGAUUCAGCACUGACAGCAUCCAGCCUCGUAGUCAUCUUCAGCAGCAGGAACAGACCUGCCACCAGCUUCCCAAAGUGCUGGCCCACAUCUGAACACAUCUCUUCACACACUACUUUAAUAAGAUACCUAUUCUUUCUGAA